rnacentral:rRNA from 1 species
GGUUCUAUGGAAAAUAAAAUAAAGAAUCUUGCCUGCCCAGUGAUAAAAAUUUUAACGGCCGCGGUAAUUUAACUGUGCGAAGGUAGCAUAAUCAAUUGUCUAUUAAUUGUAGACUGGAAUGAAUGGUAUGACUAAAGAUAAAUUGUCUUGAAAUUAAUAUGAAAUUUUCAUUUUCUUGAGGAGGAGAAAAUGAGUUAGAGGGACGAGAAGACCCUAUUGAGCUUUAUAUUAAUAAUAUAUUUAUGCGUGGGGAGAAAAAUAAAAAAAAUAUUUUGCUGGGGCGGUGGUGAUAAAAAUAAAACAAUCUUUAAUUUAAUAUUAUUAAGUGAAAAUUUGAUCCAAUAUAUUUGAGUAAAAUACUAAGUUACUGUAGGGAUAACAGCGUGAUAUUAUUUUGAAGUACUAAUUUAUGAUAAUGAUUGCGACCUCGAUGUUGGUUUAGGGUACUUAUUUGGCGCAAAUGCUAAAUUAAGUAGUCUGUUCGACUAUUAAAAUCCUAUA